AGGUCAUUUCAAAGAGGGCUUGUUGGACCAUGAAACCAAAAGCUCUUAACGCUGUGACCAGAGAUUGAUGAUCUUCACAGAACAAAACCGGCACUUCAUAGUGUUGUUUUUCUGGGAAGAUAACACU
rnacentral:snoRNA from 1 species